ACACUAAAAAUCCACUCAUUUAUUCUAUUGGGUGUAGAGAAUGAUUAUGAGUUUUGCAUUAUCUGAACACAAAUAAAUUAAAUUGAUGUGCAACGCAAUGACAGCCGAUCGCCUGCCAGCAGCCAUUGGCCAUCCCACCAAAGCAGAAUGAGCCAGAACACAAAAAAAGCCAUUUAUUUAUUUGAUUAUAUUUAAUACACUACAAUUCUGGAACCACACCAAAUAUCAUGAAAGAUGGCUAAGAGUUGUCCCUUAUGUGAACACAAGAGUACACACUAACGAG